rnacentral:misc_RNA from 1 species
CAAGUCGCACUUUUAGUGCGUUACCGUCUCCUCACGGGGAUAUCCUUUGUCUAUGAGCACCCUUUUUCCUCAGCAGGCCUGCCUGCUGGGAGACCUUUAAACCAAACCUUUUUACAAUAACUGUCUGAAUAGUAAUAAAUUAAUUA